rnacentral:rRNA from 1 species
UAGUACGAGAGGACCAGAGUGGACUUACCGCUGGUGUACCAGUUGUCUUGCCAAAGGCAUCGCUGGGUAGCUAUGUAGGGAAGGGAUAAGCGCUGAAAGCAUCUAAGUGCGAAGCCCCCCUCAAGAUGAGAUUUCCCAUGAUUUUAUAUCAGUAAGAGCCCUGAGAGAUGAUCAGGUAGAUAGGUUAGAAGUGGAAGUGUAGUGAUACAUGAAGCGGACUAAUACUAAUAGCUCGAGGACUUAUCCGAA